GAUGAGCGCUGGCGGCGUGCCUAAUACAUGCAAGUCGAGCGAACAGACGAGGAGCUUGCUCCUCUGACGUUAGCGGCGGACGGGUGAGUAACACGUGGAUAACCUACCUAUAAGACUGGGAUAACUUCGGGAAACCGGAGCUAAUACCGGAUAAUAUAUUGAACCGCAUUGUUCAAUAGUGAAAGACGGUUUUGCUGUCACUUAUAGAUGGAUCCGCGCCGCAUUAGCUAGUUGGUAAGGUAACGGCUUACCAAGGCAACGAUGCGUAGCCGACCUGAGAGGGUGAUCGGCCACACUGGAACUGAGACACGGUCCAGACUCCUACGGGAGGCAGCAGUAGGGAAUCUUCCGCAAUGGGCGAAAGCCUGACGGAGCAACGCCGCGUGAGUGAUGAAGGUCUUCGGAUCGUAAAACUCUGUUAUUAGGGAAGAACAAAUGUGUAAGUAACUAUGCACGUCUUGACGGUACCUAAUCAGAAAGCCACGGCUAACUACGUG
rnacentral:rRNA from 1 species